AAUGGACUUAUCAUAUUCGUACUGCGUGGUCCUCAAUUAUAUACCUUUAACAGCCCAUUGUGUUGCAGAGUCUCUUUUGACUUUUGCGAUCGAAACUUUCGAAGUAUCCUCUUUUGUGAUGUCUGUUACUAUAUCUACGACCUUUCCAUCAGCCUCUCUCUUAUAACGACGACCUACAUCACGAGCGUCUUCAAAUUCCACGUCUUUUUCCAAAUCUGCAUCCUUUGAAGGAAAAUAUUCCUUCGUAAGCCAUGGGGCUUCGGUGACUGAAAGCAUCGUCAAUUAUUUUGGAGCAGUAAGAUAAGCAAAAAUGUUUUAAACAAAGGGUAACAUAUAUGAAUUAUACUUGUUUUUUUCAAUGUAGCCUUUACCACGGGACACUGUGGCCUGCAUAUGGGCAUUUAGAUUAAUUUAAAAAAUGGUUUUAAAGACUAUAGCAGAUGGCCAAAAUUUCCAUAAUCGGACUUUCGAUCGAGAAAUCGAUCUUGUGACAGUUUGCUACCGCGUCAUUAAUGUUUGACAAAUGAUUUUCGUGUAUUCAAUUAUCCUAUAGCUUCUUUUCUGAUUUGCAACAUUCAAUGGCCGAACAGGAUAGUAUCUUUAAUGAAAAUGUGUUCGACCUCGCCGAAAGGAAAUUGCAUUCGUGAAGUGAAUAGAAUAUUGGAAGCAUCAAGUUUGGUUACUUGCGCGAUAUCAAGUAAUUCGAGUUGUUGUGGUAAAGAUGUUACGGAAGAGGAGGAAGUAAAAAGUAUAAUCCAAGAAGAGGAUGAUCUAUUGCCUUCGAAUUAUCUUGAUAAAAAUAUUUUUGGUUUGUUAAUAUCUGCAUUGGAAGAAACACUUAUCGAAGCAUCUGAACAGAACGUUCUUUGGUCCUAGACCUUAUUAUCCAAAAUCGUGGUUAUGGUCCGAGGAUGAAGCGGCGUUGCACAUACAAAAAUAUGUUCGUGGUUGGCUUGUGAGAAAAUGUGCGAAUGUUCAAGAAAUGAGGAAAUUUUGGAAGGAUAUUGCGGUCAAAAGUCUCUUUGGCAAAAAGGAGAUUUAUUCUGUACAGUUUCAAAGACUUUUAGGUAUGUUUUAUUACGGAUUUGUAGUGAUAAUGAUAUUAAUUGAUUUAAUUUGCUUGUAGAUAACAAACAAGACGAUAGAAAGCAUGAAACAAUCGACAAAGAUUUUAUUCGUUGUGAAAAAUACCGGUCGUCGAUUGCGCACACAUAUAAUCCAAUGCGAA